GGCAGUGCGGUGUAGUGGUUUGAAUGUGGGAUUACAAUUCUGAAGAUCAGGGUUCAAUUCCCCACUCUGCCA